rnacentral:rRNA from 1 species
UGCGUAGGCGGCUUGGUAGGUGAGAUGUGAAAUCCCACGGCUCAACCGUGGAAUUGCGUUUCAAACCCCCAAGCUCGAGGAAGAUAGGGGUGAUCGGAACUUAUGGUGGAGCGGUGAAAUGCGUUGAUAUCAUAGGGAACACCGGUGGCGAAAGCGGAUCACUGGAUCUUUUCUGACGCUGAGGCACGAAAGCUAGGGUAGCGAACAGGAUUAGAUACCCUGGUAGUCC